rnacentral:rRNA from 1 species
UACGAAGGGUGCAAGCGUUAAUCGGAAUUACUGGGCGUAAAGCGUGCGUAGGUGGUCUUUUAAGUCCGUUGUGAAAGCCCUGGGCUCAACCUGGGAAUGGCAGUGGAUACUGGAAGGCUGGAGUACGGUAGAGGAGGGUGGAAUUCCAGGUGUAGCGGUGAAAUGCGUAGAUAUCUGGAGGAAUACCGGUGGCGAAGGCGGCAUCCUGGACCGACAUUGACGCUGAGGAGCGAAAGCUAGGGGAGCAAACGGG